GACGAACGCUGGCGGCGUGCCUAAUACAUGCAAGUAGAACGCUGAAGGAGGAGCUUGCUCUUCUGGAUGAGUUGCGAACGGGUGAGUAACGCGUAGGUAACCUGCCUGGUAGCGGGGGAUAACUAUUGGAAACGAUAGCUAAUACCGCAUAAUAGUAGAUGUUGCAUGACAUUUGCUUAAAAGGUGCAAUUGCAUCACUACCAGAUGGACCUGCGUUGUAUUAGCUAGUUGGUGAGGUAACGGCUCACCAAGGCAACGAUACAUAGCCGACCUGAGAGGGUGAUCGGCCACACUGGGACUGAGACACGGCCCAGACUCCUACGGGAGGCAGCAGUAGGGAAUCUUCGGCAAUGGACGGAAGUCUGACCGAGCAACGCCGCGUGAGUGAAGAAGGUUUUCGGAUCGUAAAGCUCUGUUGUAAGAGAAGAACGAG
rnacentral:rRNA from 1 species